AUUGUAUUGGCCAAAAAGUUCAUUUGGGUUUUUUUGUAAGAUGCUAAAAGCAGGAAUGAACUUUUUGGUCAACCCAA
rnacentral:miRNA from 1 species